UUGGAUCCUUCUCGGUUCUGUUGGCACUCUUUAGAACAAAAAAUCCAUGGAGAGAUCUAGAUCUAAACGGAAUUACUACUAUGAUAACCCGGACUACGACAAUGACUCGACCGGUAGGACAAAACCUCGUUACAACAACCAUCAAUACUCUCCCGCCGCCGCCGCAGCCAACUCCCACCACAACAACAACGGAAGCCGACACAGUCGUCCGAAUAACCCUAAUGUGAAUAAUCGUCAGUCUUCUUCCAAGACUCAGCAGCAGGACACUUCCCUGAUGGUUACCACAACCUACCGCAUACUUUGUCACGAUU
rnacentral:lncRNA from 1 species